GGAAUGUUAGUAAAACAAUUACAUAACCUUGUCGAGGUUAAAUUAUAGGUGAAACCCCCAUACAUCCCU
rnacentral:tRNA from 1 species